rnacentral:rRNA from 1 species
UUUAUGGAGAGUUUGAUCCUGGCUCAGGACGAACGCUGGCGGCGUGCUUAACACAUGCAAGUCGAACGGGAUGAUUUAGAAGCUUGCUUUUAGAGAAUCUAGUGGCAAACGGGUGAGUAACACGUAGACAACCUGCCGACAGGAUGGGGACAACAUUCCGAAAGGAAUGCUAAUACCGAAUGAAGUCAGAGGAGGGCAUCCUCCUCUGAUGAAAGAUGGCCUCUGAAUAUGCUAUCACCUGUUGAUGGGUCUGCGUCUGAUUAGCUAGUUGGUGAGGUAACGGC